AAUCAACGCUGGCGGCGUGCCUCAGACAUGCAAGUCGAACGAUUAAAGCUCUCUUCGGAGAGUGUAUAGAGUGGCGCACGGGUGAGUAACACGUAAGUAAUCUACCUUUGAGUGGGGAAUAACAAUCGGAAACGAUUGCUAAUACCGCAUAAUGCAGCGGCAUCGCAAGAUGACAGUUGUUAAAGGAGCAAUCCGCUUAAAGAGGAGCUUGCGGCAGAUUAGCUAGUUGGUAAGGUAAUGGCUUACCAAGGCUACGAUCUGUAUCCGGUCUAAGAGGACGGUCGGACACACUGACACUGAAUAACGGGUCAGACUCCUACGGGAGGCAGCAGUCGGG
rnacentral:rRNA from 1 species